rnacentral:rRNA from 1 species
UACGUAGGGGGCAAGCGUUGUCCGGAAUCAUUGGGCGUAAAGAGCGUGUAGGCGGUCCGAUAAGUCCGCUCUGAAAGCCCGGGGCUCAACCCCGGGAGGCGGGCGGAUACUGUCGGGCUAGAGUCCGGAAGAGGAGAGUGGAAUUCCUGGUGUAGCGGUGAAAUGCGCAGAUAUCAGGAAGAACACCCGUGGCUAAGGCGGCUCUCUAGUACGGUACUGACGCUGAGACGCGAAAGCGUGGGGAGCGAACAGG